UUUUUCUUUUUGUUUUUACAUUUCCCCUCCCUCAACUCUUUGGUCUAUUUCUCCUUUAUCUCCACAGUUGGAAGGUAGAUGAACUACAGUGAAGAGAAAAAUGGAUACAUUCUUCAAAGGAGGGACUGUGUCUUAAAUUUCUUUGUAAACUCCAUUGCUUCGUACCAUGCCUGACAGAUUUAGGUACUCACAGAGUGUUGGUUAAAGGUUGAAUGAAUGGGCUGAGCAAUGCAUGAGUGGGUAAAUAUAUUUAUUUUAUCCUUCUACUAUAACUAAAGGAAAAAGCAUGUUGCCUGAAUGUUUAUUACAACUCUUCUGUUAACCUUGUAGAGGAUGGAUCAACUGGACCAUGUAGAGAUGGAAGAAAAGGAAAGUCAUUUGCUAUACUCAGAACGUGUCCUGUACUGGUGAUUUCACAGGAUGGGAACAGCACUUAAUGCUAAGCCUGCAAGCCAGUUGAUGUCAGGACAGAGUCCUGAAUACUCACCUCAGUGAGGUAAGGAGCACACAGAGGGUCACACACACACACAGUUCUGGAGGAAGGAACACCCAGGGACAGGUCAGGGUAGAGAACAGUGGAACUGGACGGGAUUAGUCCAUCCUCCUCAGUAGGAUGAGCUGAUCCUAUGGGUGGGGCUGGCCCUUCUCAGAUGCUCACCAUAAAGUGAAUGUGCUCUCACAACUGUGAUCCACCCAGGCCCCCAGGUCCUGUGCUGCUCAGCCAUGGAUGACAGGUGAAAGGAUCACUUCCGGGAACGAACAGCUCUUCUUCAGCUACCGUUCACCUGGGUGGUGGCACAGGUGCUGGGAUCUUUGCGGGUUAAAAAGGAAGACAAGCCCUGGCACUCAGUGGCAAAACCAACACAAUACUUACAGUAAGGUUUUUAAUAUUAUUUGAACAUACUUUAAAAUAGUAAUCCACUUUCCCCCUGUGCUUUAGCCCUUUCACUAUUCAGUCCAUGUAAAGUACUUUCAAAAACUGUCUGUUUUUCUUAGAACACUACUCAGAUAGCUGUGUUUUCUGAAAUAAAGCAACCUAUCAUUUCUUUUCA
rnacentral:lncRNA from 1 species